AUGCUCAGCCAGCCCAUUCUCCUCCAGCCAUCAGAGAGUAGACUUUCUGAUCUGCUUCUCCCAGCCCCAAGCCUUCCCAGCCCAGAAUCACACUCGAGGUUUGCAAGCUGCAGGAUAACUGAAGAUUUAGGUCAGAAAGAGUGGAUUCCAAUAAAAUCUGACAUCUCUGCCCUCAUCCGCUGGGAGGACCACCUUGUAGGGGAGAAGGUGCUUAGCAUCAGAGUCUAUGAUGAGACCAACUGUGGACCACCAUUGACGCUGGGUGGAUAUUCCAAGUGGUUAUGGAAAGUCUGA
rnacentral:lncRNA from 1 species